AAUAAACAGGUAUCCAUACUUUAUGUCACCUCACAGUCUACAGCAAUAAACAGGUAUCCAUACUUUAUGUCACCACACAGUCUACAGCAAUAAACAGGUGUCCAUACUUUAUGUCACCACACAGUCUACAGCAAUAAACAGGUGUCCAUACUUUAUGUCACCACACAGUCUACAGCAAUAAACAGGUGUCCAUACUUUAUGUCACCACACAGUCUACAGCAAUAAACAGGUAUCCAUACUUUAUGUCACCACACAGUCUACAGCAAUAAACAGGUAUCCAUACUUUAUAUCAAGCUCUAAAUUGACACUAGUUUAGACAAGUAAUCUAAGUUAUAAACCACAGACUUCUAGAUAUCUGCAAUCAACAACGGAAUUGUCUAAGUAAAAAAGACACUUGAAUAUAAACAAUGAUUGGCGCUGUUG